UUACUCUUAAUUAAGCUAAUCAGAGCAAA
rnacentral:sRNA from 1 species